AAAUGGAAAGCUACCCAUCAGCCAGCUACAACCGAUUAUAAAGGCUGGCUCUUUCACCUUCCCUGGUCAACUGAUCACUGAAGUCUUGAUGUCCUCCUGGCAUCUGGAAGACUGGAGUAAGACAGCUUAUUUCACUCUGGACUUCUUUUCUCUGAGAUAUAUUUAAAUAUCAACACGUGAGCUCUCCUUUGCUUCCCUUCACCAGAAGAGUUGAACUCAAGCCACUGUCUUUUCCACAUUAGUUGCCCCAUAAAAGCAGGUUCCCCAAGAUCAGCGAAGACUCUUGAUUUGCAAUUCAACAGCCUAUGAAGAAAGCAGUAACCUUGGCCAUCAGAACCUUAUUAAGCAAGAAAAAAACUACGAUUCUUUUCUACAGACUAGGAAAGGGCUAAGUAUGAGCUGCAUUUUCAAUCUGCAGAUAUUCCAGCAAAGAACAAGCAUCAGAAACCCAAGCCUCGGGAAAAAGUUCCAGUUGAGAUUCUGAUACUACCACAAAGCCAUGUGUGACUCUUCCUCCAGAGCUGAGCCAGGCAUCCUCGGCUGUCAGCUGACCCCCACAUUUACUCCUGAGGGACCUUGGUCUUCUCUCCAUGUAGAGGAUGGAGUCAUUCAUCACCUUUAAUCUCUGCCUGGUAGGACACAGGAGACACACAGGCGUGUCCAGGGUUCUUCCUACUACACAGUAGCAAUCUCACUUCCCUUUGGCAAUCAGGACACUCACCCCCACCCCCAGACAAUUCUGUGUCCCCCUUCUGCUGUCUGAUGGGACACAAUGGCUGAGUCAAGCUCUGCAGUCAGACUAGUUAGGUUCAUGCUGGUUUUGUUUCUUGUAUUCUUGUUUCUUCAUGUGCAGAAUGAGAGUUGUCACAGAGCUGAUUGCACAAAAUCUUGAGGAGGAUUAAGUGAGAUUAUCCAUAUAAAACAUAUCAUAGGCAGAACAGGACAGGUACUCAUUAAAGAUUACUCAUCAUUAUCAUUAGACACUAAGUCUUCAGACCAAUAGAGCUCUCAUUUUAAGGAUAGCAUCUAAAAGACAAUAGCCCCAAACCAAUCUGUAAUGCCCUAUCAUUUUCUAAAUAGUUAAAUAAUCCACUUACCCUUAAGUAAUUUGCACAUCAUAUAACCUGCUAGGCUAUAUUUAUUCAGUCAAGUGUAAAUCAUGCAAACCACUUGGUCCAAUCCCAAAAUCCCAUCCCAGUCAGCACAAGGCUGUCAGAGCUGGGAGCUAUUCUAAUGCUUAAAAAAGUAAGCAAAAAUGUAAGAAAAGCAGCUAUUUAUUCAAGCCUUUUAACAAAAUACAUUCAAACCCCUUUUUAAACAAUCAAGAAUUACAGUCUAACUGUCCAGGAAUGGGACAAAGUCAUAACAUGCCACUUCAAGAGUGUCUAACCUAGACUGAUAAUUCACUUCCAGGCUUUCAAGCGAAUGUGGCUGCCUCUCCUGUGCAAGAAGUUAAAGGACAAUAGUCAUCUCUAAUCUGAGUAAACUCAAAGCUGUUAAGGCGAUCUGUGGAACAGGGAACAGUACUCUGAUUCCUGAUUCACACUCCCUGAACAAGCCUCACUGCAGACAAGUAGAAGCAGGGGAGAAGGACUAUCUUUUAUUUAACAGAAUAUCUUUCAAGAAGUGUUCAAUUUGGUGUAAUUACCUUUUUGCAAUCCACUGUCUUUCUCCUGAUUAAUAAUUUGGUGCCGUUCCAAACUUCU